UCUUCGUCGCCGCUGCCAUCGUCGUCUCGUCGUCGUCAAGCUCUCUUGGUCGCCGACGUGUCUUCGUGCUGCUCCGUACGAUAGACGCGUAUAUACCUACUACGAGUGACCGAUAUGUUUUCGUUUACCGCGUGGCCUGCUACGUAUACGUGGUUACGUGGUCGCAAUCGUACGGGAUCCCGUGAAAGGAUCUCGUUAAGCCUCGCCACGAUCGUAUUUGGACUUUUUCAUCGAAUAAACGGUCCACCGGGAUCGCAUUAAUAUGGAACCCCGACGACCGGUAUAAUUAACUCGUCCACAACGCUUAUUUAUUCGAUCGGCCCGUAUCGCUAUCCGCGUAAAACAGCCUGUCAAACGUGGCCACCGAUGAACCUGUUCCGCGUCGGACUGUGUCGAGAUAAUCCGGAUGGGGCUCCUGAUUGAAACGCGUUGAGACGCGCAGUUGCUUUAAAUACGACAGCAUUAACGAUAGAGGCAUGAAAUUUGCAUCAAAGAAAUUUAAAUGACAAGUAUAUGAAAAAUUUAUGAUGCAAGGAGAAAUAAAAAUUUUCAUUCAUGUACGAGUCCCUUAUAUUCGUUAAACAUGUUUGUUAACGAACUUCUUAAUUUCAUCAAAUAAGUAGAUAAUUAUUAUAUUUCGAUUUUCAAGAAACGAACGUUCCAUUUGUAUAAAUUUAUCGUUGGUCUAUUGCAAGAAGAUGACGUAAAUGACAUUAGAUCUUAAGAUAAACUACGGUAAGCAAGUGCAUUAACGAAAUGUUACUAAUUUCCAAGAAGCAUAUACAAAAAAUAUUCUACCUUUCCGAAAUCAAAAUUCUGGAAAUCUUGCUCCUCGAUCA